CACACACACCCCAUGACGGACAGACAGACACACACACACACCCCAUGACGGACAGACACACACACACACCCCAUGACGGACAGAGACACACACACACACACCAUGAUGGAAAGAUAGACACACACACACACCCCAUGACGGACAGAUAGACACACACACCCCAUGACGGAAAGACAGACACACACACACCCCAUGACGGACAGACACACACACACACACCCCAUGACGGAAAGAGAGACACACACACACCCCAUGACGGACAAAUAGACACACACACACCCCAUGAUGGACAGACAGACA